rnacentral:rRNA from 1 species
GACGAACGCUGGCGGCGUGCCUAAUACAUGCAAGUCGAACGAGAGCGCCCGGUGCUUGCCCUGGUCAAUCUAGUGGCGAACGGGUGAGUAACACGUGGGUAACCUGCCCAUCAGAGGGGGAUAACAUCCGGAAACGGAUGCUAAAACCGCAUAGGUCUUCGAGCCGCAUGGCUUGAAGAGGAAAAGAGGCGCAAGCUUCUGCUGAUGGAUGGACCCGCGGUGCAUUAGCUAGUUGGUGAGGUAACGGCUCACCAAGGCCGUGAUGCAUAGCCGACCUGAGAGGGUGAUCGGCCACAGUGGGACUGAGACACGGCCCAAACUCCUACGGGAGGCAGCAGUAGGGAAUCUUCCGCAAUGGGCGCAAGUCUGACGGAGCAACGCCGCGUGAGUGAAGAAGGUUUUCGGAUCGUAAAACUCUGUUGUUAGAGAAGAACAAGUGCUAGAGUAACUGUUAGCGCCUUGACGGUAUCUAACCAGAAAGCCACGGCUAACUACGUG